UACGGAGGGUGCAAGCGUUGUUCGGAAUUAUUGGGCGUAAAGGGCAGGUAGGUGGUCUUAAAGGUCUGUGGGGAAAUCCCCGAGCUUAACUUGGGAAGUGCGGCAGAUACUCUAAGACUAGAGUGCUGGAGGGGUUCGUGGAAUUCCCGGUGUAGCGGUGAAAUGCGUAGAUAUCGGGAAGAACACCAAUGGCGAAGGCAAUGUUCUGGCUCGUUUCUGACGCUCAGGUGCGAAAGCCAGGGGAGCGAACGGG
rnacentral:rRNA from 1 species